CGCAAUGGACGAAAGUCUGACGGAGCAACGCCGCGUGAGUGAUGAAGGUUUUCGGAUCGUAAAACUCUGUUGUUAGGGAAGAACAAGUGCGAGAGUAACUGCUCGCACCUUGACGGUACCUAACCAGAAAGCCACGGCUAACUACGUGCCAGCAG
rnacentral:rRNA from 1 species